UGGGUGAGAGGGGAGGCAGGGAAGCCGGUCUGAGUGCGGACUGUGCUCUGGCAUUGGCGAUGGCGGGAGAGUAAGCUUUUCUUAACCCAGGUAGCUAAGAAAACCUGAAGGACACACAUACGCUCAUCCCUGCUAGGACCUUACUUGUCUCCCCCAAUCCCACAGGCAGCAGAGGGGGCAGGUGACGGGAGCUGAAUCCCACGCUCCGUCCUCAUAGACGGCAGCUGCGUCUGUGUGCAGACGGGCAGGUGUGGCCGGCGGCUCAGCAGGGCCACGCAAACCAGGAUCAGACUGGGCACAGGGCGUGGUGUCCAGGGAUCUGGGUUCUUGUCCAGGCCCCGCUGCUUGAGGUCUUGAUGCCACGACGUCUCCAGUUGUAAAACGGGCCCGUCUCUGGGUCGGAGCCCUCAGGAGCCUCCAGGCCAAGCUGGGGUGUGUGAACAUCCGCUCAGAGAGCAGAUUAGCUCACGGGACGCCUGACCUACACUACUCUGCAGCAUGCUCAGCUGGGGCUCCCUGAUAUCCGGCAGUCGCACUGCCUGUCACUCCCGAUACCAGACUUUGGCAUCUGAGCAGCGAAUGCUGUGCCCGGCAGGGAGGGCAGAAAGUCUCCAGGCUGAGCCACGACCCGCCUCAGAACCUUCCAGGAGAGGAGCCUGCCCACACCGCCCACCUGAUGACCGCCUGGGUACAGCAAAGCUGAGAUGCAUCACUGCUCCUGGGCCGAGCAUCACUCUCAGUGGCUGAACUGGUGGACGCUGUGAGCACGCGGUGGGAGUGACAGUACGCUCCAAGACCAACUGGACCUUUCGCCUGCGGGGACUUAAUCCUGCUUCAACAAGACGAGAAAACCCAACUGGAAAGUCUGGUGCCCUGACCUCAGGCUCUGGCGCCUAGUCCACCUUCCUCCAGGCUGUCCGGGGCACCCAGAGCCAUGAUCGCCUUGCCCCCGUCCCACGUUGCAUCACUGGAUUCCGACGUCACCUCGCGGGGGGCGGUGGGGGAAGGACGGAGGUACCACGUCAGAAACAAGAAGGCUUAGCUUCUGUGCUGGAUCAGGAACUAUUCAUUAUUUAAAAAAUCAUCUGUAUUUAAGAAUAAUGUUCGUAUGAUUAAUACACCCAUUUUAAGUGUACAAUUUGAGGAGUCUGGACACAUGUUUACAUAAGUCACAUGACCCUCAUUCCCAAAAGGUCCCUUGCGCCUUCUGCAAUCUUCCCACGCCCCCCUACUUCGGGUCCCCACUGAGCAGCAUCACUGUAGUGCUGACUUUAUUCCAGAGCUUCCCAGAAAUGGAAUCGUACACUAGGUCCUUUCUUGUGACCAUCUUUUUAUCUCAACAUCAUUUCUGAGAUUCAUAUAUCCUGUUGGCACUGCAGCAGGUCCUUCCUCUGUGUGACAGAGCACCCCGUGUGUGGGCACCCCAUGUCUUGUUUACACACUCACCUACUAAAGGACACCUAGGUUGUUUCCAGCUUGGGCUACCUGGAAAGAGCUGCUGCGCCGGACAUUCUUGC